UCCCUUCUGGGAAAAGCUUAUGGCUCAGCACCUAGGGGCUAAUGUGCAAUCGUCUUUCUGUAGGUGCCAGAGAACUGAGCUCUCUUCCUGAUGAACUGGUUUCCCUUCACCUUGGAAAGCUUGAGAAGCCUUGGAGGACUUCGUGGAGCCGGAAUGAUAAGAAAGUGAUGGGGUGGGCUGAAAUAGAGUAAGAGUUACAAGACACUUUACUUGAAAACACCCAAAGCAGUACUGACAGUGUCAACACCACUCUGACACAUAGCUUGAACUGGAGAACUAGGCCAGGUAGUUGUCUUUGGAAUGUUGGCAUUGGAAAUCUGGCAACGUCAUUAAUUCAAAGAGAACUCCAAUAUCUGGGGUGGGAUAUAACUGAGUUUGCACUCAAAUGCAAUAGCUUAUCUGCCUUGUGAACUUGAUCAAGUUCUUUAGUUUUGGAGCUUCAGUGUUUCCAACUGUGAAAUGGGAAUAUUAACAUGUACUUCAUGGGCUUUUUGUGGAGAUUGAGUGGGACAAUGCAUGUAAAGAGCAUGCAGAGUGACAGGCAUGUAGACAGCAUCUCUUAAUGGCUAUUUUAGAAUCUAGGAGGCCCUCGGAGGUCAUGAGGUGAGAAAGCUGGUUCAGGGAGUGAUGAAAUUAUCUACUAGCACAAGAUGAGAAAAAGAAAGAGGUGGGUACAGAAAUCUGGUCUCCCGACCCCCACCUAGGUCUCUUUCUGUCCUUCUCGCUGUCUCUCCAAUGAUGUCCACAGACACUGGGAGCUUGGGUAGAUUUUGGGUGCAUGAGGCUACUUUCUAUUUCCUCGAUGAUGACAGUUCUGAACAGCAGACUAACCUCUUCCAGGCCAUUCUGCCUUGUUUUGGUGGCUGUGUCUAAAGAGUGGCUCGAGCCCACCCAGAAAUAUGAGCACUGUCCUUACUUGUCUCUGCUGCUCUGGGUGAGAGAGCACGGUGGUCUGAGAAACAGAAAUGGAGAUGCUUUCUCAAAAGAACAUUUAAAAAUGAUACUUAUAAAAGCAAUACGUGUUCUCUGUAGAAAUGAAAAAAUCCAGAUAAAAUACAGAUACUAUAGUGAGAAGGAAAAAAAUCACCUGCCACCCUACCACCUGUAAGCAUGAGCUGCUGUGCUGUUUUCUUCGAGGCUCUUUUCUAUGCACAUGCACAUGCGUGCUUGUCCAGGUCCUCACUCACUACAGUAUAUAGUUGUGGUUAAAAGCACAGUCUGGUUUCACCACUUGGGCAAGUUAUUUAACUUUUCUACUAUUGUUUCCUCAUCUAUAAGCCAGGGCUUCAUAUAGUACCUUCCUCAGAGGGUGGUUAAGAGAAGUAAAUGAACUAAUCCAAGUAAAACACAGUGCCUAGCAUGCAGUAAACAUUGUAAGGGGUUUUCCUUUAGAAUUAUUGUUACGUGCAAUAGAAACCCGGGCUCAUAUGAUAUAUUUUGCUGGAUGUGCAGUUUUUAUGAAGCUGUUUCGUCUUUGCUCGCACUCAGCUGCUAGACUAUAAUGCUUUCUUAAACUGCUCACCCAGACAGGGUCUCAAGUUCAGGUUGAGCCCUGCCCUCCUCCUGGCUCAGCAUACCAGGGCUGAAAGGCGCUAAUCAUGUGUUCAUCUUCAAAAGGAUUUGACAGUAUUAACACACGAAUUCCUACAGCCUGACUCCUGUUAGGGUUUAUUAGACCCAUUUUACAGGAGGGAGAAUUAAGACUAAAUAGUAUUGAAGUGACAGCAUGGGGUCACCAAGCAGAUGAGGAGGACAUUCUGGCUGCCGAGAAAUAAACAGUGAAUGAAUAGCCAGAGAAGUGGCUGGGCUGCUCCUGAGCUUGGGAUUGGUCGAAUUUAGACUGGAGAGAGUCAGGCCUCCGUGGAGCAAGGAGUAAGGCUGAAAUCUGAAGACAAGUUAUCGGAAUCAAAUGUCUCAUGGAAAAUCUCUGACAGUCUUCUUGAUGUGUGCUUGUGUGUGUGCAAAUGUGUGUGUGCGUGUGUGUGUGGACGCGUAUUACCAUUUUGGUGUUCUUAAGCAUCCUUUUGUGGAAUUCAAACAUUCUGAGAUUGAAAAAUGAUAAUUUUAAGCCAGACCGGGCAAGGUAGGGUCAUAAAUCAGGAAAGAAGACCAGGGUCUGGCUUCGUGUAUGUGUAUGUGUGUAUAUAUAUGUGUGUACAUGUGAAAGGUGUGUACACAUACAUAUGUGGGUAUAUGUGUGUAUGCAUGUCCAUGUCCAUGUGUGUAAAGACUGUCAGAGCUUUUCCAUGCACAGUGAAGGCGCCAGCAUGCAGGCCUCUUGGGGUGAGCGGGAGGAGCAGAUGUGAGCCUGCGGAAGGGAACUGGUUUUGAUGAAAUAUUGGCUAACGCUCGGGGCACCGAAGGAGAGGAGGCUCUGGUCAGGGAACUGUACUGCAUUAGAAUUUAUAAUAGAUUAGCUUAUCUGCCCCUUGAUCUUCAAGGGUAUUUGGGGAGCUAAGGAUGAGGCAUUUCUGCCUUGAUUUUCACAGUGAGAGGAAACCUCUGGAACAGUAUUUCCAGCCUUUCCCUCUGCACAGCCCAAGGCGGUGAGAGUUUGCUAUUCACACCCCCACUCAGGUCAUUUGGAGGAGGCUGACAGUCAGUGCCCAGGAAUGCUGACAUGCUUCAAAACAGCACACAAGAAAGAACCCACUCAGAUUCCUAAGGGGAGCUGCUGUCGGUCCACCCCGAGUUGGAGUGUAAUAUUGGAUGCGAUUGCCACGGCUCCCCCUCCCGCAGCAGAAGCUCGAAAUCCAUAUUUAUCUGUCUGCUGGACUCCCCUCUCCCUGUUCAUCUGUCUGUCUGUCUGUCUGACUCUGUCUUCCUUGCUCUCUGAGGUAAAGGGUGCUCGCUCUCAUGAAAAGGGGAGAGUGCCAGGAUGUUCCAGAUGAGCUGCUGCCAGAGAUGUUGCUUUAAACGCCAAUGAGCUGAAGCAGCCGGGAAAGAAAGAGCGAGGGGUGAAGUGUGGUUUGAUGUCUGGGCGCACUGGGGAGAUGAUUCAUAUAACAUGAGCCCCUCAGGGUCCUUGAUUAAAUCCCAGCCUAGCUCCCCCAGCUGAACUGGAACUCUGAAGUCCAGCCAAGGAGUGUUACUGGUCCUGCCUCGGCAAACAAUUGCUUAUCUGAGGAAACCAGACUUCUUACUGAUGCUCAUCACCAUGCCCCUCAGAUAUUGGUAUUCAUGACCACGAGAAGCCACGGGAGCAUCUUUCUGGAAUGCUAAUUUGACUUCAAGAUUUCUUGGGGGAAGGUUAGCGGUUUUCCUCAAGAGUCUAAGAGCAGAAAUCCUUUAUAUUUAUGUAUAUUUAAGAAUGAAGGGCCAGAAAGUAAAGGAAAAACCCAUGCGUGUAGGUAGGACUGCUGAGUGGUGGACCUCACCAAAUUGUGAUCUGGCAGUUGAUUUUGACACCAACAAAGGUAGAUCUUUCUACUGGAGUCAUCAGUUUCUGCAAUCUCCCAUCUCUUCUAGUCGCCAGACUCAGGUGGGGGCAAACAAAGUGGGAAAGUGACUGAAAAGAGGGGUUUCAAAUUUUUACUUAAUCUUCUUAUUUUCUGUAUAGCAUCUCACUGCUCCUCUCUGCUUUACCUGCCUCUAAGUCCAGAGCCCUUCUGGAAUGAUCUAGCCACAAUGUAAACCUCUUUUCUUUUUCUUUUCUUUUAGUGGGCUAGAGA